rnacentral:lncRNA from 1 species
GGAAACUUGGAGAAAGAAGAAGACUUGAAGAAGGAGUGGAAAACAUCAACAAUCAAACCAAAUCCUUUCCAUCAUCUUCAUCUUCAAGGUGAGUUCUUAGCUAGUAUAGCAUUGGGGGGAAGAAAUUUUAUAAAUAUGGGGUUAGGUUUUGUGUGUAAUGCAUAAUCAUGAAUUUGAUGAAUCCAUGAUGAACUUGUUAUUGUUAUGAUUAUGUUUUCAUGAACUUGAUGAAUCCAUGAUGAACUUGUUAUUGUUAUGAUUAUGUUUUCAUGAUCUUGGGUAAAUUAAGGAAUGAUUAUAUAAUGUAAGGUGAAAUUUUGAUGAGUAUUGUUUGAGGAAUCAAUUGAAUUGUUGAGUUAGAAAAAAAGGGAAGUUUAUGCAGGUUGGAAAAGGUAAUAAUAGAGUAUUUUGAUGAGUAUUGUUU